rnacentral:rRNA from 1 species
UACGUAGGGAGCAAGCGUUGUUCGGAUUUACUGGGCGUAAAGAGCUCGUAGGCGGUUCGGCAAGUCGGAUGUGAAAUCUCCACGCUCAACGUGGAGGGGCCAUCCGAUACUGCCGUGACUCGAGUCCGGUAGGGGAGUGUGGAAUUCCCGGUGUAGCGGUGAAAUGCGCAGAGAUCGGGAGGAACACCCGUAGCGAAGGCGGCACUCUGGGCCGGUACUGACGCUGAGGAGCGAAAGCGUGGGGAGCGAACAGG